rnacentral:rRNA from 1 species
GCAAGUCGAACGGAAACGAUAGAAGCUUGCUUCUAGGCGUCGAGUGGCGGACGGGUGAGUAACACGUAGGAAUCUACCUGAUAGUGGGGGAUAGCCCGAAGAAAUUCGGAUUAAUACCGCAUAAUCUCUAUGGAGUAAAGAGGGCCUCUAUUUAUAAGCUUUCGCUAUCAGAUGAGCCUGCGUCGUAUUAGCUUGUUGGUAGGGUAAAGGCCUACCAAGGCAACGAUACGUAGCUGGUCUGAGAGGAUGAUC